CUGCGUACACCGCUUUGGAGCAGCGGGGGCAGUGGUCCGAGCCGCCGAACUUCUGCGAGAACUUGCUGGCGUUGGGGUUGGAAGAGGCUUGUCGAGGUUUAGAGCUACAAAGAAAAUGAGCAGACAGGAGGCUCUCCAGGCUGUGCUCCAGCGUCGGGCCGGCGCCGCCGGGGGUUUUGACGAACUCCGGGUCCAGGUGGAGCGCGCGAGGCGAUGGCCGGCUGACGAGGUGAGUGCCGCGGCGCGCCUUCAGGCGGGCCUGCAAGAUCUCGCCGAGCUUCGGAGAGCCGUCCUACACGGAGCGAGGAAACGUCAGAAUCAGGGUUCAGACGCUGACACCUCAAAAUCAAGCCUUUAAGAAGAGCUCCUUCUGCUCGCCGCCCUCCGCCUCGUUCUCCUUCUCCUCCUGCCUGAAGUCGAACUCCCGGUCCGCGACGCGCUGCCGGAUCUGCUGCAUCUGCUGGCCGUACCGGUGCUUCUCACCGACGCUCCUCA